AUAGCGUAUAUUAAAGUUGCUGCGGUUAAAAAGCUCGUAGUUGGAUUUCAAGGGCUGCAGCUCUUCGGAGUGUGCACCCUACCAGUCUUCGGACUGUUACUGUGAGAAAAUUAGAGUGUUUCAAGCAGGCUGUUGCAGGAAUACAUUAGCAUGGAAUAACGAAUGUGUCUAGAAUCUUGGUUUAUUCUAGAUUACGAUUAAUAGGGACAGUUGGGGGCAUUAGUAUUUAAUUGUCAGAGGUGAAAUUCUUGGAUUUGUUAAAGACUAACGUAUG
rnacentral:rRNA from 1 species